CCUACGGGAGGCAGCAGUGAGGAAUAUUGCGCAAUGGAGGCAACUCUGACGCAGCCAUGCCGCGUGCAGGAAGAAGGCGCUACGCGUUGUAAACUGCUUUUAUCCGGGAAGAAACCCCUCCACGCGUGGAGGGUUGACGGUACCGGAGGAAUAAGCACCGGCUAACUUCGUGCCAGCAGCCGCGGUAAU
rnacentral:rRNA from 1 species